UUUCACCAUAAUUCACUCAUAUGAAGAGAUGAAGUGAUGGAGAACCGAUUCACAACCAAUGAGUCCAGAUUGAAUUCUAUAUGUGUAACAAAAUAUAAAUGAACAAGAAUAAUUUUAAACAAUCAACACAAACAGUUGAUAGAAGAGAAUGGAAAAGAGAAUGUAUGAUAUAUAAAAUUGUAUUAAUUAAAGAAAAAGAAGAGAAAUAAAUUAAUUAACAGAAAAACAGGUAAACUUGAAUGAGAAUCAACUUGAUGUCAGCAACACAUUAACUUGAAUGAGAAUCAAGAGCUCACAUUUUAAAGCGGGUUUUUCGAUUAACCGGUUUCUCAAUUUUCGCAAAUUCUUUUAACCGUUAUCGCUUCCGAUUCAAUUGUCAACGAUAAUUUUCCACUUUUUAAUUUAAUUUAAUAUUCUAAUUACCUGACUAUUUAUAAAUUGAUUUUAUCACAUUUCCUCUUCUAACUGACAUCUAAACACUGGAGAUAUAAUGUCAAGGUUAAUUGGUUAAACUCUAAAUGUGAUUUUAUAUUACAGGUUAAAGGUGAUUUUCGGUUGAUUAUAUUUUACCUUUUCUCGAACUGAUUAAAAGUGAAAGUGUCCAAAUUAUUAUUAUGAAUAUUGAUUGAAUUUUUCGUUUUGUUUUGGUGUUUGGAUAUCGGGAGAUUGUACAAGGUGAGAUUGGUUUGUUUUUCUUUCUCCCUCGAUUUUGAUUACAAUCAAUUUUACAUACAAACAAGAAAGUGAUUUGUAAUCAAUUGAUACAAUUAACUCUCUGAUUUUAGAUUCUUGUCAAUUGUUGAUUUGUUCAUUUCUGCUUACCAACUAGUGAUUGAAGGUUAAUUGUAAUUUGUCAUAUGUGUAAACAUGGUGGCAUUAACUGAUUAUUUUCUUAUUAAUCAGGUUAUACAUGUAUAUCUGAUUGCUGUUGAUCACUUUUUUUCAUCGUCAACCUUAAAUUCAGAUUAAUAAACUUGCUGGUUACAAAAGUAACAAUGGAUAGAGAGAGAGAGAGCUGAUUAUAUAACAAUCAACAAUCAAACUCAAAUAACAAUACCAACAUUAACAGUUACAAUCACAACAAUCAAAAGUUAAUCCAGUUAUUUGAGGUACAACACACAAUUGACACUACACAUACACAAAAUGAUCUGUCAAUUUGGAUUUCGAGAUUUUUUUCACUUCUUCAUCUUAAUUCCUCCCCUAAUUAAACCUCAACAAACUGAAUGCGUGUUUAAGCAAUUUGUUAGCCCGUUAAAUGACCCGAAAUUGUGAGUUCGGACAAAAGUAGUUAUCAAGAUAAUUGGCAAACUCGAUUCAGGUAAAAGGUGAAAAAAGAGAGAAAAGAUACUUUUUCUUUUUUGUUAAAGAAGAUGGAGUCAGAAAAGAAGAGAGAGAGAAAAAAAGAGUAAAUUGGAAUGAAGCUCAGAUGAUUUAGUUAAUAACAAUUAGGUCAACAUGCGAUUUUGAUUCGAAAAGAGAAAGAUAAAGGUGAGAGUAGAAAAGAAUAGAAAAAAGGAGAAAAAAGAGAGUAGAGAGAGUAAAAGAUUUCGAUUAACGGUACCAAGUUUUUUUCCUAAUGUGAAUUACCGAUGUUCGGUUUGUAGAGAAUCUCGAAUAGCCCUGAUUAUUAUUAAUGACGAAAAUGAUUAUAAUCAUUUUAAUGAUGAUUUUUUAAUGAUGGAAAAGAUGAUGAAACUGGUUUACCAGAAUUUUCAUCACAAUCUCGAUUCUUUGUUAUAAUCAAGUUAAUUUCUGUUUUUUUACCGCGCUUCUGUUUUGUUGGUUAAUUUUACCUUGAUAAUCAUCAUCAUCAUUAUCAUAACAAUUACUGUUAAUCAUUUUCAUCAUUAUCCCUUCAUGAUUGUCAUUAAAUUCAGUUCUUUUUUUAUAUUUCUGUUAAGAUUUAUCUUAAUGAUGAUGAUGAUGAUUCUGUUGUUAUGAAUAAACUGACGGAGAAACUUUAAUCUGCUAUUUAAACAAAUAACGACGAUGGACUUUAAUUGUGAUCUGUUAAUUUAACGGUUUAAGGUUAACGGCUGAAUUAAAGGUUAAAUCAUCAGCUGAUUAAAAGAUGAGAUAAACUUGAGUGUUAAUUUGAAACUCACUGGUUGAUUUAAUUAUUAAUAAUAAGAUAAUUUGUUUUAUUUUUCUUUCAUUCAGUUGAUUUUCUCAUUAAUGAAAUUUAAUUGACUGUUUAUUGGAAAAAAUUAUCGUUAAUUGUACAGUUUCACUGAUAAACAAUUACAAUUAACUAUUCCAGGUAACGAUUGACAAUUAAGUUAAUGGAGGAUAGCUAAUGAAAUAAUUAACUACAAUCACAUCAGGAAAAUAAAUCAGAUCAAGAAAGGAAAAUCCAAUGAAUACAAUUAAUGAUAAUCAGUAACCCUCCAAGUUUUACUUAAUUGUACAAUUAGUGGUUGAUGAAACAUGGUUCCAAUUGGGACAAAUGGCUUAAUUGUACAUUUUCAUUAUCAGUAACGUUAUUGUUCAAUUUACGUGUUGAUUACAAUUAAAACUCUCCAUUUGUAACCGGAAGACUUUCAAUUGCAAUUUAAGGAAAAAACUAAGAGAUUAAAAACUGUCUGCAAAUGG